GUGAUUGUUUACCAAAAACAAAGGUCUCCACAAAGUUGUAAGACCAUGUACGGGGGCUGAUGCAUGCGCAAUACCGGAAGGUCAAGGAAGUUGGCGACCUGAUAACAGGGAAGCCAGUGACCGAAGCCCGGGUGAACAGCGGACGUAACUAUGACGGUCCUAAAGUAGCGAAAUUUCUUAUCGAGUAAGUUCAACCUGCACAAAAGGAGUAACGAU
rnacentral:ncRNA from 1 species